rnacentral:lncRNA from 1 species
UAGCCUUGCGAAAUUUGCAAUUUUCAGUCAUUUUGUAUUGCAAACGGGAAAUUGAUGCCCCAACACCCGAUUUGACUGUCAAUUUUCCGUGCGUAAUACAAACUGACUGAAAAGCGGCAAACUUCGCAAGGCUAUAUUAUCCGCAUUUUACAACAUUUCGCAGCGAAACUUUGGAAUCUUACUAAUUUUGUGAUGCUCUUUCAAGCUGUGAUGAAAUUUUUGUCUAGAUCAUAAUUUAGUCUAUAAUGCAAAUGGUC